rnacentral:lncRNA from 10 species
UACCCUUUAUUUCCUUCUCCUGCCUAAUUGCCCUGGCCAGAACUUCCAACACUAUGUUGAAUAGGAGCGGUGAGAGAGGGCAUCCCUGUCUUGUGCCAGUUUUCAAAGGGAAUGCUUCCAGUUUUUGCCCAUUCAGUAUGAUAUUGGCUGUGGGUUUGUCAUAGAUAGCUCUUAUUAUUUUGAAAUACGUCCCAUCAAUACCUAAUUUAUUGAGAGUUUUUAGCAUGAAGGGUUGUUGAAUUUUGUCAAAGGCUUUUUCUGCA